ACACUGGUGAUUCAGUAGUAGGAUUCUUGAGUUCCAGGCAGGAGACCUGGGUUUGAUUCCUGGCCAAUGUA
rnacentral:tRNA from 1 species